rnacentral:rRNA from 1 species
CCUACGGGAGGCAGCAGUGGGGAAUAUUGCGCAAUGGGGGAAACCCUGACGCAGCGACGCCGCGUGAGCGAAGAAGGCCUUCGGGUUGUAAAGCUCUGUUGUAAGGGACGAAAGAUCAAGGGAGUAACUGCCCUUGAAGUGACGGUACCUUACCAGCAAGCCCCGGCUAACUACGUGCCAGCAGCCGCGGUAAGACGUAGGGGGCGAGCGUUGUCCGGAAUUACUGGGCGUAAAGAGCACGUAGGCGGAUGUAUAAGUCAGGUGUGAAAGACCGCAGCCUAACUGCGGGGUUGCACUUGAAACUGUAUAUCUUGAGGGCAGGAGAGGUUAGUAGAAUUCCUGGUGUAGCGGUGAAAUGCGUAGAAAUCAGGAGGAAUACCAGUGGCGAAGGCGACUGACUGGACUGACCCUGACGCUGAGGUGCGAAAGCGUGGGUAGCAAACAGGAUUAGAUACCCUUGUAGUC